rnacentral:piRNA from 6 species
GCAUAAUUUGUGGUAGUGGGGGACUGC